rnacentral:rRNA from 1 species
CGUCCGAUAGCACCGAGAUCCGAAGCAUGUCCAUCAAUCUGCCUGAUCGCCACCGACAUCGACGAAUACCUCACUCAGCACGAGCGGAAGGAGCUCUUGCGGUUCAUCACCUGCGGGAGCGUCGACGACGGCAAGAGCACGCUGAUCGGCCGGCUCUUCUACGAGUCGAAGAUGAUCUACGAGGAUCAGCUCGCCGCGAU